GUGGGGAAUAUUGGACAAUGGGCGCAAGCCUGAUCCAGCCAUGCCGCGUGAGUGAUGAAGGCCUUAGGUUUUUAAAGCUCUUUCAGUGGGGACGAUAAUGACGGUACCCACAGAAGAAGCCCCGGCUAACUUCGUGCCAGCAGCCGCGGUAAUACGAAGGGGGCUAGCGUUGUUCGGAUUUACUGGGCGUAAAGCGCACGUAGGCGGAUCGUUAAGUCGGGGGUGAAAUCCUGGAGCUCAACUCCAGAACUGCCUUCGAUACUGGCGAUCUUGAGUCCGGAAGAGGUGAGUGGAACUCCUAGUGUAGAGGUGGAAUUCGUAGAUAUUAGGAAGAACACCAGUGGCGAAGGCGGCUCACUGGUCCGGUACUGACGCUGAGGUGCGAAAGCGUGGGGAGCAAACAGGAUUAGAAACCCUGGUAGUCC
rnacentral:rRNA from 1 species